rnacentral:rRNA from 1 species
UACGUAGGGUGCAAGCGUUAAUCGGAAUUACUGGGCGUAAAGCGUGCGCAGGCGGUGAUGUAAGACAGGUGUGAAAUCCCCGGGCUUAACCUGGGAACUGCAUUUGUGACUGCAUCGCUGGAGUGCGGCAGAGGGGGGAUGGAAUUCCGCGUGUAGCAGUGAAAUGCGUAGAUAUGCGGAGGAACACCGAUGGCGAAGGCAAUCCCCUGGGCCUGCACUGACGCUGAGGCACGAAAGCGUGGGGAUCAAACAGG